rnacentral:rRNA from 1 species
UACGUAGGUGGCAAGCGUUGUCCGGAUUUACUGGGCGUAAAGAGCGCGCAGGCGGUCGUCCAAGUCGCGUGUGAAAGCCCCCGGCUCAACUGGGGAGGGUCACGCGAUACUGGUCGACUCGAAGGCAGGAGAGGGUAGUGGAAUUCCCGGUGUAGUGGUGAAAUGCGUAGAUAUCAGGAGGAACACCGAUUGCGAAGGCAGCUCGCUGGGACGUAACUGACGCUGAGACGCGAAAGCGUGGGGAGCAAACAGG